GCUGCGAUGGCCGAGUGGUUAAGGCGUUGGACUCGAAAUCCAAUGGGAUAUUCCCGCUCAGGUUCAAAUCCUGCUCGAUGCG
rnacentral:tRNA from 1 species